rnacentral:snoRNA from 1 species
CCUGACCCUAGAGGCAUUACAGAUGUGACUGCUGUGUCACAUGUGUGUCAUUAGGUGGCAGAGAGAAGAGAGGCUUGUCUACGUCCAGUGCUCUGACUUGUUGGCGACUGGGUGAUUGAUAGUCUGAGAAA